AACUCCAUAAUCCGUGAAUGUAAACGUAGAAACAUCUCCUUGCCUUGUAAUAAUGUAAUUAGCAUUGGGCACAGAAGAGUGAAGCAUGCACGUCAAAGAUUGCCAUUGAUUCCGACUUAGAGAAUCACCUACGAACAUUAUGCUUUUCCCCCUAAAUCUUUCUAACAUUUGCACCCCAUUCAACCUCUGUAAAUCGCAGCCCAAU
rnacentral:misc_RNA from 1 species